UACGUAGGGUGCAAGCGUUGUCCGGAAUUAUUGGGCGUAAAGAGCUCGUAGGCGGUCUGUCGCGUCGGCUGUGAAAUCCCGAGGCUCAACCUCGGGUCUGCAGUCGAUACGGGCAAACUAGAGUAUUGCAGGGGAGACUGGAAUUCCUGGUGUAGCGGUGAAAUGCGCAGAUAUCAGGAGGAACACCGGUGGCGAAGGCGGGUCUCUGGGCAAUAACUGACGCUGGAGGAGCGAAAGCGUGGGGAGCGAAACGGG
rnacentral:rRNA from 1 species